ensembl:ncRNA ZK617.14 ncRNA
UUAUGGUACUUGGAAGUUUUCACUGAUUUCCAUGAUUCUUAUAAUUACAUAAUUAAAGACUACGAAUUUAUUAAGACGGAUAAGAGAAGGUAACUUCAGGCGUACGUGUCUGCCUCAUACCUGUCAUUGUACAAGCCUGCCUACUGCGUAUUUACUGCAUUUUAGAACCAUAUAUAUUCAAUUUAUGAAAAUUGAGAUCAAAAAUACGUAGCACGAGGCCGUAGC